rnacentral:rRNA from 1 species
AGGGCACCACCGGGAGUGGAGCCUGCGGCUUGAUUUGACUCAACACGGGGAAACUUACCCGGCCUGGACACUGGAAGGAUUGACAGAUUGAGAGCUCUUUCUUGAUUCAGUGGGUGGUGGUGCAUGGCCGUUCUUAGUUGGUGGAGCGAUUUGUCUGGUUAAUUCCGAUAACGAACGAGACUCUAGCCUAUUAAAUAGGCUCUCGGCUUUUAAACGCCGGGAGGACUUCUUAGAGGGACAGGUGGCGGUUCAGCCGCACGAAAGAGAGCAAUAACAGGUCUGUGAUGCCCUUUGUUGUCCGGGGCCGCACGCGCGCUACACUGAAGAGAUCAGCGUGCUUUACGUUCCUGCUCCGACCGGAGUGGGGAACCCAGUGAACCUUCUUCGUGAUUGGGAUAGAAGAUUGUAAUUAUUCUUCUUGAACGAGGAAUUCCCAGUAAAUGCGAGUCAUAAGCUCGCGUUGAUUACGUCCCUGCCCUUUGUACACACCGCCCGUCGCUACUACCGAUUGAACGAUUU